rnacentral:rRNA from 1 species
CCAGACUCCUACGGGAGGCAGCAGUGGGGAAUAUUGCACAAUGGGGGAAACCCUGAUGCAGCGACGCCGCGUGAGCGAUGAAGUAUUUCGGUAUGUAAAGCUCUAUCAGCAGGGAAGAAGAUGACGGUACCUGACUAAGAAGCCCCGGCUAACUACGUGCCAGCAGCCGCGGUAAUACGUAGGGGGCAAGCGUUAUCCGGAUUUACUGGGUGUGAAGGGGGCGCAGACGGCGAUGCAAGCCAGGAGUGAAAGCCCGGGGCCCAACCCCGGGACUGCUCUUGGAACUGCGUGGCUGGAGUGCAGGAGGGGCAGGCGGAAUUCCUGGUGUAGCGGUGAAAUGCGUAGAUAUCAGGAGGAACACCGGUGGCGAAGGCGGCCUGCUGAACUGCAACUGACGUUGAGGCCCGAAAGCGUGGGGAGCAAACAGGAUUAGAUACCCUGGUAAC